rnacentral:lncRNA from 1 species
UUAAAUAUUACCGUUCAUAGAAAAAGUAAAUUAUUUUUGUCUUGUUGGCAAUUAUCAUUUCAGCUACUACUGUGAACAGAAGGAUGAGGAGGAGGAAGAAGAAAUUCUUUUCUUUGUAACCCCUGGGCCAAGUGUUGACCUGUGUUGUCUCUCUUUAUACUGUAUAGCAGACAAAGAAACUAUAGAGUUUGUUUCAGAGCUAGAAGGAAAGAUGAGAGGAACAGAAUGAACAAAAUAUUGGAAAUGUGAACGAGUCUAGUAGUGGAAACGCAGAGCAAAGAGAUGACAACAGAGAAUUCCCACAAGAGGGAAGGUUCCAGGCUCGGCAGGAGUGAGCAAGAAGGUGCUUGUGGCUUGGUCCAGGAGGCCGGCAGGACCAGACAGAAAUGUGCAGUGACACGUGGGGAUGGCUGUCCCAGAGGCAGAAAUGAGUAGCCACAGGUAACCCGGGCAGCCAGCCACUCAGCUCCCUCCACAUUGUGGCCCUAGACGGGGUCUUGAAGAAUGAGAAGCCACAGCCCCAUCAGGGAAUCAGGCUGGAAAAAUGUUAUGAGCCUGAGUGAGACCUGAGUGAGACCAUAGGCAGGUAGGUUUGGGUGCCUGUGAAACAGGGAAGUGUGGUGCUGGACAUGGAGAGAAAUGGGGGGUGAGGAGGAAAGAGAGGUUCUUAACCACACGCCCCAGGCAUUUCUGGGCUUCCAAAGAGCCAUAUGGGGAGGGGCAACCAGAUAGAGAAGUCAUAGUCCUUGCUCUCUAGCCUGCCAAUCUAGCAGUGACUAAGACCAGACUGCAGGUUUUUUGUGGGAAUGAAACCACAUCUUGUUCAUUUUAACUUUAAUUCUCUUAGAACAGUGAGCAGGCGACCGGCACAUAUUAAGUGCUUGUCUCUUGUUCAUUGACUAAAUAAAUAAACAUAAAUAAUUUUCACGUAA